rnacentral:rRNA from 1 species
UACGUAGGGUCCGAGCGUUGUCCGGAAUUACUGGGCGUAAAGAGCUCGUAGGUGGUUUGUCGCGUUGUUCGUGAAAACUCACAGCUUAACUGUGGGCGUGCGGGCGAUACGGGCAGACUUGAGUACUGCAGGGGAGACUGGAAUUCCUGGUGUAGCGGUGGAAUGCGCAGAUAUCAGGAGGAACACCGGUGGCGAAGGCGGUUCUCUGGGCAUUACCUGACGCUGAGGAGCGAAAGUGUGGGGGAGCGAACAGG